CAUACAAUGCUGGCUGUCAUGAUGCCUAAAAAGCAUCGUAAAGCAAGGGCCGGGCAAGACCGGUGCCAGCCGCCGCGGUAACACCGGCGGCUCGAGUGGUAACCGCUAUUAUUGGGUCUAAAGGGUCUGUAGCCGGCUUGAUAAGUCUCUUGGGAAAUCCGGCAGCUCAACUGUCGGGCUGCCAGGGGAUACUGUCUGGCUUGGGACCGGGAGAGGUGAGAGGUACUUCAGGGGUAGGGGUGAAAUCUUGUAAUCCUUGAAGGACCACCAGUGGCGAAGGCGUCUCACCAGAACGGGUCCGACGGCAAGGGACGAAAGCUAGGGGCACGAACCGGAUUAGAUACCCGGGUAGUCCUAGCUGUAAACGAUACUCGCUAGGUGUCGGCCACGGUGCGACCGUGGUCGGUGCCGUAGGGAAGCCGUGAAGCGAGCCACCUGGGAAGUACGGCCGCAAGGCUGAAACUUAAAGGAAUUGGCGGGGGAGCACUACAACGGGUGGAGCCUGCGGUUUAAUUGGAUUCAACGCCGGGA
rnacentral:rRNA from 1 species